GGUUAAAAGUGCAAAAGUAGACACACCCAGAUCUAUUCAGAUGCAAAUCAGAAACUUCAAGGAACUAUGACAAGUGUAGACCCGCCAUCUAAUGCAUUGCAGAUUGUGCUGAUAGGAGGCAGAGAACUAGGGGGAAUUGAAGCAAGUGGGAAGACUGCCUCUGGAAACACAAUCCUUGGGAAAGAUGAAAGUCCUGUUCGAAAGAGAACUUCAAUAUCUGUUAAGAGUGAAGCCCGAAGAUUUGGGAGACAUGUCACUGUGGUUGACACCCCAGGAUGGUGGUGGCAUUAUUCCCUGGAAGACACCCCUAAACAUGAUCAGAUUGAAUUUGCGCACGGAGCGGCUUUAUGCUCUCCUGGGCCACAUGCCUUUCUGCUUGUCAUUCCAGUGGACAGUGGUUUUUCCUGAAGUAUACAGGUUUUCAUUGGAGGAGCACUUAGGAUGUCUCAAAGGAGAUGUUUGGAAAUACACCAUUGUUUUAUUCAGUUCAAAUGGUCCACAUAAGAUAGAUGUUCAAAAACACCUGAAGCUCUGGCCAGACCUGCUGUGGGUUAUUCAGAAAUGUCAGAACAGGUACCAUAUCCUUGACAAUGAAAACAAAAGUGAUGAGUCUCAAAUCCUGGAACUAUUCAGUAAAAUAGAAAAGAUGGUAGCGAUGAACGGGGGACAAUGUUAUGAACCUGGAAAGAAUGCUCUCCAUCUGGAGCAAUGGAGGAGAACAGUUUAACAGGCAGCUGCAGAAAGGAUCAUGGCAGUGGAAGCACAAAGGGCUAGACAUCAGGCAUUGCUGAAUGAUAUAAAGGAUGAUCAGCUGAACCCCCAAGAAGAGAGAAGAAUUGUCAUUGUUGGAGCACAGUAUGCAGCGAGAAGUUCAUCCGGAAACACUAUUCUGGGGAAAGACGCAUUUGUUGAGGGAAGAAAAAGAACAGUCCGAUGUGCAGUCGAAAAGGGUGAAGUUGCAGGAAGACAGGAAGUCACAUACCUCGUUUCGACCGCAGCGGUGCCGGUGCUGGUGCCGUGCCGGUGCCCAAUCUCGAACUGGUUCUGCGUGUUUCGACCGAACAAUGACAGGUGCUGGUGCCAAAAAGCCAGCACCGGCACGGCACCGUGAAAUUGCUGGUCCCAGAGUUUGGGCUGUUACGUAAUAAGGGUCGUGGCACCAUGGCAACAGUAAAUAUACUGAACUGUCGUUUAAAAAUGAGCGUAGCACUCUAGAAUCUUUGGUUAACACUACGGUAUGACGUUAGCAAAAGCUGACGUUAAACUAAAUUAGCCUACGUAAGCUAGCAGGCUAACGGUAUAACGUAGUUUCACUGACAGCUAAUAUCUCAGACCAGACGUUAUAAGUGGGUACAACAAUGGUAUAACCAGAUAGUAAAUCGUUUAUUUUCAAUCUACUUUACACAAAUCCAAGCUAAAUAACGUCACACAAAUGGCAUUUCAACCGAUUCAGCAGUCAUUUACCGAUAUCGGCAGCCAUGUUUUUUUUUUGUUUUCACAGCUGAUUCAGACGUGCGUCGGCAUAGUAACACUCCACUCUAGUAACAUUCUG